rnacentral:rRNA from 1 species
AACUUGGUUAAGCGCAAUUGGACAGGAUCUACUAGGUGUAGUUUCUGUGAUCAUGACGAGACCAUUAAGCAUCUCUUCUUUGAGUGUCCAUUGGUGAGAAUUCUGUGGCGCACCGUGCAAAUUGCCUUUAACAUUACUCCUCCGAGUUCGGUCGGGUCGUUAUUUGGAACGUGGCUGGAUGGGAUAGAGUCCGAUACAGCCAGACAUAUUCGUGUAGGAGUUUGUGCGUUGUUAUGGGCAAUUUGGAACUGCAGAAAUGAUUUAGCUUUUAACAGAAUAACUACUAUUCAUUUUUUGCAGGUUGUAUUCCGUGCUACGGCGCUGAUCCGUAUGUGGUCCUUACUCACUCCGACGGAGGCCAGGGAGCGUUUGGUUACUGGAUCUGUCCGUUGGGAGAUGGUAGCGCGGGAUAUCUUCAACCGGUUUGGAUGGCGGUCAUGUAAUAGGAUAGGCGAUUAG